CUCCUACGGGAGGCAGCAGUGGGGAAUAUUGCACAAUGGGGGAAACCCUGAUGCAGCGACGCCGCGUGGAGGAAGAAGGUCUUCGGAUUGUAAACUCCUGUUGUUGAGGAAGAUAAUGACGGUACUCAACAAGGAAGUGACGGCUAACUACGUGCCAGCAGCCGCGGUAAAACGUAGGUCACAAGCGUUGUCCGGAAUUACUGGGUGUAAAGGGAGCGCAGGCGGGAGAACAAGUUGGAAGUGAAAUCCAUGGGCUCAACCCAUGAACUGCUUUCAAAACUGUUUUUCUUGAGUAGUGCAGAGGUAGGCGGAAUUCCCGGUGUAGCGGUGGAAUGCGUAGAUAUCGGGAGGAACACCAGUGGCGAAGGCGGCCUACUGGGCACCAACUGACGCUGAGGCUCGAAAGUGUGGGUAGCAAACAGGAUUAGAUACCCUGGUAGUCCACACCGUAAACGAUGAUUACUAGGUGUUGGAGGAUUGACCCCUUCAGUGCCGCAGUUAACACAAUAAGUAAUCCACCUGGGGAGUACGACCGCAAGGUUGAAACUCAAAGGAAUUGACGGGGGCCCGCACAAGCAGUGGAGUAUGUGGUUUAAUUCGACGCAACGCGAAGAACCUUACCAAGUCUUGACAUCCCUUGACGAACAUAGAAAUAUGUUUUCUCUUCGGAGCAAGGAGACAGGUGGUGCAUGGUUGUCGUCAGCUCGUGUCGUGAGAUGUUGGGUUAAGUCCCGCAACGAGCGCAACCCUUAUGGUCAGUUACUACGCAAGAGGACUCUGGCCAGACUGCCGUUGACAAAACGGAGGAAGGUGGGGAUGACGUCAAAUCAUCAUGCCCUUUAUGACUUGGGCUACACACGUACUACAAUGGCGUUAAACAAAGAGAAGCAAGACCGCGAGGUGGAGCAAAACUCAGAAACAACGUCCCAGUUCGGACUGCAGGCUGCAACUCGCCUGCACGAAGUCGGAAUUGCUAGUAAUCGUGGAUCAGCAUGCCACGGUGAAUACGUUCCCGGGCCUUGUACACACCGC
rnacentral:rRNA from 1 species